rnacentral:rRNA from 1 species
GACGUAGGGCGCAAGCGUUGUCCGGAUUUAUUGGGCGUAAAGAGCUCGUAGGCGGCUUGUCGCGUCGACUGUGAAAACCCGCGGCUCAACCGUGUGGUCUGCAGUCGAUACUGCCAUGGCUAGAGUCCGGUAGGGGACCACGGAAUUCCUGGUGUAGCGGUGAAAUGCGCAGAUAUCAGGAGGAACACCGGUGGCGAAGGCGGUGG